rnacentral:lncRNA from 1 species
AGGACCUUGGUGCAGGACAUUUGCUUACCUUCCCAGGGCUGGUCCCUGGUCCUCACCACCCAGGAGAGCUGCCUGCUGCUGUCACUGCCUCAUCGGGUACACCUGGUCCUUCCCAGUGACCACCUCCAACCAGGCACUGCCUCCUACAGCACAUUCAUAUCUGAGCUCCUCCAUGGAUGCGUCCACUGCUGAGCAGAGCACCUCAUGGUCCAGUCACCUUCUGCACACAGAAGACUGGGGGCCAUCGUAGAUCUAAACCCUAACAAAUGGCAAAGGAGCCAGAGCAAGAGGGGUCUGUGAACAAACACAGCACCUACUGUGGGCCAGACCGCUGACCCCAAGUCCUACCACACUCUGGGAACUUGCCCAGGAUGGCCUAGGCUCUGUAUCAACUGUCCCCAACAGUAGAGCCCUCUAGAGAUGGAACGGGCUCCUUUACAGCACUGGACCUCCAGCUGGCACAAGUGGGAACAGAUUCACCAUCAGCCGGAGCAGGACCCCAAGACCUCCAAAGGCCAUUUCCAAAGCCAAGACCAGAGGAUGCUGGGACUUCCGGGUUUGAGCCCAAGCAGAAUGUCUGUCCCACAGAGCAGCAGGAGGGAGAAGGACUCAGCACCUUGUCCCUGCAGGUGGCUGCUCCUCAGCCACCCCCUUCAGGGAAGAGGAAAGACAGGUGCGCCGGCUCUUGGUAACCAAAGAACACGAGGCAGUGGCUGAGCACAGCAAAGUCAGCAGACAACUUUUGCGACCCCAGAAGACAUGGGCGCUCCCCCCACCAGUACGCCAGCAGCUGCAUGAGCAGCAGGCCAGCUGCACUUCCUGGAAUUGCUGAAUGCUGACACUGUCCACCCAGAGGAGCAACAGAGCCCGAGGGUUGAAAUCCUGCCCCAAGCCUCAAAAUAAAAAAUAGAAAGGGCUGGGGAUGUAGUUCAGUGGCAGAAUACCCCCAUGUUUGAUCCCCAGUACAGACAAUUCUUCUGUAACGACGGAGCUCCGUUCCUGCAACCAGGUCGCUAAAUGAAUUGGUAGCUAAAUGAAGCAUUGUAUUUAGCGCGUACAUCACAAUAUUCAGAACAAAGAAAU